rnacentral:lncRNA from 10 species
GUAAGUUUCUACAGGAAAGGGCCAACAUGAGCACCCAGUGAAUGGAAAUCCAGGCCAUCCUCAUCCUGAAGGUGCCAGAGCAGGCCCCGCCGGCUGCCUGAGAGCUCCCAUUCCUUGUCAGUCCCCUCUGCCCCUGCCUGCCUCAGUUCUCUGCCCCUGCCUGCCUCUGUUCUCUGCCCCUGCCUGCCUCAGUUCUCUGCCCCUGCCUGCCUCUGUUCUCUGCCCCUGCCUGCCUCAGUUCUCUGCCCCUGCCUGCCUCUGUUCUCUGCCCCUGCCUGCCUCUGUUCUAAGGACUGUAAGAGCUAAACCUAAGAUCACUCGACUCCCUCGUAAUCGGGGGCGGGGGGCCAUGCGACAGUGUUCUUGUCCAUGAGAUGUGAGCAGAAGUCCAUGAGAAAGACAGCCCUUCCAGAAUAAAAUGGCAAAGCUUCCACAGGAGAAAUCUUUUUGCCCGUCGGCCUUUGCCCUCCCUCUAUGUUAUUCCUGCCUGGAAUGCAAACGUGAUGCCUGGAGGUGCAGCAGCCAUCUUGUAAUGUGAGGACAGAACCCAUGCUGAGGAUGGCAGAGCAGACAGGUGAGCCUGGGUCCUGGCUGAUGCCUGUGAGGAGCUACUGCUGUCUGGGCAGACAGCUUAGCAUUGCUGUUGCAGGAGAAAAAUUAAUUUCUAUCUUUGCAUCUCAUUCUUAGCUGAACCUUUCCUAAUUUGCAGCAAACCUACAUGAAACAGUAAAGGACAAUCACAGUUAAAAUAAAUACAACACAUAUGUGUAAAUAUACGUUUAUAAUUAUUUUUGGUGCAUAUUUAAAUUAAGGGAGAGAAGUUACGUAAAAUUAUUUUCAAAAUUUUAAGGUAUGAUGGACAUUAUUAUCCUGUAUAAGAUGGCUCACUCCUAAAAAAACCUGGAAAACUUCAACGAUAGUGGAAAAACAGAGACGCUUUUUAAUCCAUCAUGAAAAAUCCUAGCACAAGCCCAAGUGGAAACACUAUUCCCCAACAGAAAUGCAAAGGCAGAAAAGCCCCCUGAAAGAGGGAUCCUAGCAGUCAGCCUUCCUCCUACUGAAAGAGGGAUCCUAGCAGUCAGCCUUCCUCCUACAUGACUGCCUUAAUUGUUGGGCAGUAAAUGGCUUUGUAGAAUGUAACGUGGUCACAAAACCCCAAGGAGCCAACUGCAGAAGGAGAGGCAAGCAGACCCAGUGCCAAGCAGAAGAGGGCAGGGCCAUGAAGGAAAACCAAGGGACAUGUGACCGCCUGAGCACCAGAGAAGCCCCAGCUACAACCGGUACUCAAGGGGCAGCCCCACCUCUCUGCUGCUUUGCUGAUUCCUGAUUCUGAGCAAAGGAUGCUAUAAAUAAAGCUAGAAAUAAAUAUUCCACCAGUGUAUCCCUUGUUUUCCCAGCCUCUCUUCCAAAUUUCCUCUUCAUGCUCAGCUGCAGGGUGAAGCUGACCUCCUUCCUGCUCUCAUGAUCAUAACGGCUCUGCUGUGAAGACCGCAGCUACGGGGAUCUUGUGACCUCAAUUGGUCCGUACCCACAUGGAGAAGUGCCCCAGCUGAGAGAAGCCCCCAGGCCAUACAGCAAGGAAUAGGCCAAAUUGGGCCCUAAACUGACGCCUGCCAGUUCUCCCUGCCCAGCCGGGACCACAGGCUGCAGCACAAGGUCUCCACCAUCAGACAUCACUUUGAGCUGAAGACAAGUCAGGCCUCAGAAACCCAGCCAAACCAGGGCUGCAGCUCUCUACAGCGUGUGUGCCUUCUGUACCAUCCCCCGCCUCAUCCAUCCUUGGGCUCUUAUAUUAUUUUUCUGGGGAUGCUGUAACAAAUCAUCACAAGCUGAGUGGCUAAAAAGAACAGAAAUUUAGUCUCUCGUGGUUCUGGAGGGGAAAAGUCAGAAACUAAGGUGUCAGCAGAGCUGUGUUCUCUCGGAAGGCUCCACGGCAGGGUCCUCCUGGAUUCUUGCAGCUUCCGGUGACCCUGGAGCUCCUUGGGGUGCCUUGGCUGGCAGGUGCAUCAGUUUCAUCAGCUGAUCGGCCACUGCCUCACCUGGCAUGCUCUCCUGUGUGUCUCUGUUUUCUCUUAUAAGAACACAAGUCAUUAGACUUAGGGUUUACCGUAAUCCAGUAUGACAUCGUUUUAACUUAACUGGCUACAUCAGCAAAAACUUGAGUUCCAAAUAAAGUCACAAAAGUGGGCGAAGGACAUGAACAGACACUUCUCAAAAGAAGAUAUUU